GUCGAGCGGGGAAAGGUAGCUUACUACCUGACCUAGCGGCGGACGGGUGAGUAAUGCUUAGGAAUCUGCCUAUUAGUGGGGGACAACAUCUCGAAAGGGAUGCUAAUACCGCAUACGUCCUACGGGAGAAAGCAGGGGACCUUCGGGCCUUGCGCUAAUAGAUGAGCCUAAGUCGGAUUAGCUAGUUGGUGGGGUAAAGGCCUACCAAGGCGACGAUCUGUAGCGGGUCUGAGAGGAUGAUCCGCCACACUGGGACUGAGACACGGCCCAGACUCCUACGGGAGGCAGCAGUGGGGAAUAUUGCACAAUGGGCGCAAGCCUGAUGCAGCAACGCCGCGUGAGGGACGAAGGCCUUCGGGUUGUAAACCUCUUUUAGCAGGGAAGAAGCGAAAGUGACGGUACCUGCAGAAAAAGCACCGGCUAACUACGUGCCAGCAGCCGCGGUAAUACGUAGGGUGCAAGCGUUGUCCGGAAUUAUUGGGCGUAAAGAGCUCGUAGGCGGUUUGUCACGUCUGCUGUGAAAUUCCGAGGCUCAACCUCGGACUUGCAGUGGGUACGGGCAGGCUAGAGUGCGGUAGGGGAGAUGGGAAUUCCUGGUGUAGCGGUGGAAUGCGCAGAUAUCAGGAGGAACACCAAUGGCGAAGGCACAUCUCUGGGCCGUAACUGACGCUGAGGAGCGAAAGCGUGGGGAGCGAACAGGAUUAGAUACCCCUGUAGUCCU
rnacentral:rRNA from 1 species